CCUAGUAAAAAAGCUAGAAUUACAACAUAAGACCAGAAGACCCUGUGAAGCUUAAAUAAAACUAUUAAACCACAUAAUAACUACUUUCGGUUGGGGCGACCUUGGAAAAAAAGAGAACUUCCAAAUAAAAUGACUAUACCUCAUUAUCCAAUUAGGCCAACAAGCCAAAAAUGACCCAGCACAGCUGAUAAUUGAACCAAGUUACUCCAGGGAUAACAGCGCAAUCUUCUUCAAGAGCCCAUAUCAAAAAGAAGGUUUACGACCUCGAUGUUGGAUCAGGACAUCCUAAUGGUGCAGCCGCUAUUAAGGGUUCGUUUGUUCAACGAUUAAUA
rnacentral:rRNA from 1 species